rnacentral:rRNA from 1 species
ACAGCAGUCGCCACGGUAAUACGGAGGGAGCUAGCGUUGUUCGGAAUUACUGGGCGUAAAGCGCGCGUAGGCGGUUACUCAAGUCAGAGGUGAAAGCCCGGGGCUCAACCCCGGAACUGCCUUUGAAACUAGGUGACUAGAAUCUUGGAGAGGUCAGUGGAAUUCCGAGUGUAGAGGUGAAAUUCGUAGAUAUUCGGAAGAACACCAGUGGCGAAGGCGACUGACUGGACAAGUAUUGACGCUGAGGUGCGAAAGCGUGGGGAGCAAACAGGAUUAGAUACCCCGGUAGUCCCUGUCUCUUAUAC